rnacentral:rRNA from 1 species
CAGCAGUCAAGAAUAUUAGUCAAUGGCCUAACGGCUGAACUGGCAACUUGGAGAAGUGGCAAGUCUUCCAGUAUGGGGAGCAAAACAGCUAUGGGUCAAGUCCGAUAUCUUUAGGAGAAGUCUUAUUGUGAGGGCGAGUUAUAUAACACCAUAGGACUGGCCGUCCCAUAUGAAAAGAUUAUAUUAGAAUUGAAUGAAGCUUUGUUUAUAUAUUGAUAAUGACAGUAUAUAUAUCGUGUCUUGACUAAUUGCGUGCCAGCAGUCGCGGUAAUACGUAAGAGACUAGUGUUAUUCAUCUUAAUUAGGUUUAAAGGGUACCCAGACGGUCAAUAUAGCUUAUAAAAUGUUAGUACUUGACUAGAGUUUUAUGUAAGAGGGCAGUACUUGAGGAGGAGAGAUGAAAUUUCGUGAUACCAAAGGGACUCUGUAAAGGCGAAGGCAGCCCUCUAUGUAAAAACUGACGUUGAAGGACGAAGGCACAGAGAACAAACAGGAUUAGAUACCCAAGUAGUCUUUGCAGUAAAUGAUGAAUGCCAUAGGUUAGAUUGGUCAAUUAUAGUCUAGGGUUAGUCUAGCAAACUAAUACCCUAUGCUAUAAUCCUAAUAUCUGGUCUAUAAAUGAAAGUGUAAGCAUUUCACCUCAAGAGUAAUGUGGCAACGCAGGAACUGAAAUCACUAGACCGUUUCUGACACCAGUAGUGAAGUAUGUUAUUUAAUUCGAUAAUCCGC